rnacentral:rRNA from 1 species
GAUGAACGCUGGCGGCGUGCCUAAUACAUGCAAGUCGAGCGAACAGACGCGGAGCUUGCUCCUCUGACGUUAGCGGCGGACGGGUGAGUAACACGUGGAUAACCUACCUAUAAGACUGGGAUAACUUCGGGAAACCGGAGCUAAUACCGGAUAAUAUAUUGAACCGCAUGGUUCAAUAGUGAAAGACGGUUUUGCUGUCACUUAUAGAUGGAUCCGCGCCGGAUUAGAUAGUUGGUAAGGUAACGGCUUACCAAGGCAACGAUGGGUAGCCGACCUGAGAGGGUGACCGGCCACACUGGAACUGAGACACGGCCCAGACUCCUACGGGAGGCAGCAGUAGGGAAUCUUCCGCAAUGGGCGAAAGCCUGACGGAGCAACGCCGCGUGAGUGAUGAAGGUCUUCGGAUCGUAAAACUCUGUUAUUAGGGAAGAACAAAUGUGUAAGUAACUAUGCACGUCUUGACGGUACCUAAUCAGAAAGCCACGGCUAACUACGUG